rnacentral:rRNA from 1 species
CUAGUAGGAGCACUUCAAUAUCUCACUCUGACAAGACCUGAUAUUUCCUUUGCUGUUAACAAAGUAUGUCAGUUUCUUCAUGCUCCUACCACAGUUCAUUGGACUGCUGCAAAGCGUAUUGUUAGAUAUGUAAAGCAUACUAUGAAUCUUGGUCUCACCUUCAGCAAGUCCUCAUCUACACUUGUCAGUGCUUUCUCUGACUCUGAUUGGGCAGGAUGCCUAGAUGACAGACGUUCUACUGGUGGGUUUGCAGUGUUCUUUGGACCUAACCUCAUAUCAUGGUGUGCAAGAAAACAAGCAACCGUAUCAAGGUCAAGUACAGAGGCUGAGUAUAAGGCAUUGGCAAAUGCCACAGCAGAAAUCAUUUGGGUUCAAUCCAUGCUGAAAGAGCUUGGUGUGAAGCACAUUCAAGCUCCAUGUUUGUGGUGUGACAAUCUUGGUGCCACCUAUCUGUCUGCUAAUCCUGUCUUUCAUGCAAGGACAAAACACAUUGAAAUAGAUUUUCAUUUUGUGGGAGAACGU